rnacentral:rRNA from 1 species
AAUGAACGCUGGCGGCAUGCCUUACACAUGCAAGUCGAACGGCAGCAUGACCGAGCUUGCUAGGUUGAUGGCGAGUGGCGAACGGGUGAGUAAUGCAUCGGAACGUGCCUUUUAGUGGGGGAUAACGUAGCGAAAGUUACGCUAAUACCGCAUAUUCUCUGAGGAGGAAAGCAGGGGACCUUCGGGCCUUGCGCUAGAAGAGCGGCCGAUGUCGGAUUAGCUAGUUGGUGAGGUAAAGGCUCACCAAGGCAACGAUCCGUAGCGGGUCUGAGAGGAUGAUCCGCCACACUGGGACUGAGACAAGGCCCAGACUCCUACGGGAGGCAGCAGUGGGGAAUUUUGGACAAAGGGCGCAAGCCUGAUCCAGCCAUGCCGCGUGAGUGAAGAAGGCCUUCGGGUUGUAAAGCUCUUUCGGCUGGGAAGAAAUCGCACCCUCUAAUACAGGGUGUGGAUGACGGUACCAGCAUAAGAAGCACCGGCUAACUACGUG